UUAUACAACUUUCAACAACGGAUCUCUUGGCUCUCGCAUCGAUGAAGAACGCAGCGAAAUGCGAUAAGUAAUGUGAAUUGCAGAAUUCAGUGAAUCAUCGAAUCUUUGAACGCACCUUGCGCUCCUUGGUAUUCCGGGGAGCAUGCCUGUU
rnacentral:rRNA from 1 species